rnacentral:rRNA from 1 species
AUGCAGUCGACGGAAGUUAGAGCUUCGGUUUUAACUUUAGUGGCGAACGGGUGAGUAACGCGUGAGGAACCUGCCUUUCAGUGGGGGACAACAGUUGGAAACGACUGCUAAUACCGCAUGAUGCUUUUGGGAGACAUCUCCUGAAAGUCAAAGCUUUAUGUGCUGAAAGAUGGCCUCGCGCCUGAUUAGCUAGUUGGUGAGGUAACGGCUCACCAAGGCGACGAUCAGUAGCCGGUCUGAGAGGAUGAACGGCCACAUUGGGACUGAGAUACGGCCCAGACUCCUACGGGAGGCAGCAGUGGGGAAUAUUGGGCAAUGGGGGAAACCCUGACCCAGCAACGCCGCGUGAAGGAAGAAGGCCUUCGGGUUGUAAACUUCUUUUACCAGGGACGAAGGACGUGACGGUACCUGGAGAAAAAGCAACGGCUAACUACGUGCCAGCAGCCGCGGUAAUACGUAGGUUGCAAGCGUUGUCCGGAUUUACUGGGUGUAAAGGGCGUGUAGGCGGAGAUGCAAGUUGGGAGUGAAAUCCAUGGGCUCAACCCAUGAACUGCUCUCAAAACUGUAUCCCUUGAGUAUCGGAGAGGCAAGCGGAAUUCCUAGUGUAGCGGUGAAAUGCGUAGAUAUUAGGAGGAACACCAGUGGCGAAGGCGGCUUGCUGGACGACAACUGACGCUGAGGCGCGAAAGCGUGGGGAGCAAACAGGAUUAGAUACCCUGGUAGUCCACGCUGUAAACGAUGAAUACUA